GAAAAAUGAUGAUAUUCUGACUGCUUCCUAUGAUUACAGUGAAGACCUCAGAUCCAACUCUGAUUUCACUCUAGUU
rnacentral:snoRNA from 1 species